rnacentral:rRNA from 1 species
UACGGGAGGCAGCAGUGGGGAAUAUUGCACAAUGGGCGAAAGCCUGAUGCAGCAACGCCGCGUGAGCGAUGAAGGCCUUCGAGUCGUAAAGCUCUGUCCUCAAGGAAGAUAACGGCGGUUCUUGAGGAAGAAGCCCCGGCCAACUUCGUGCCAGCCGCCGCGGUAAUUCGUAGGGGGCUAGCGUUAUCCGGAUUUACUGGGCGUAAAGGGGGCCGUCGGCGGUCUUUUAAGUCAGGAGUGAAAGGCUACGGCUCAACCGUAGUAAGCUCUUGAAACUGGGGGACUUGAGUGCAGGAGAGGAGAGUGGAAUUCCUAGUGUAGCGGUGAAAUGCGUAGAUAUUAGGAGGAACACCAGUAGCGAGGGCGGCUCUCUGGACUGUAACUGACGCUGAGGCGCGAAAGCGUGGGGAGCACACAGGAUUAGAUACCCUGGUAGUCCACGCCGUAAACGAUGAGUACUAGCUGUC